GAAGGGCCAUACUUGCUCAGAGUAAAGGUCCAUCUGGCUCAACAUCCUGUCCCUGGGCAGUGGCCAAGAAAGGAUGUCUGGGGCACAACUGAACCACUUCUCCUUUGCUGCACACACCUCCAGGCUGACUGUAAUGAGUGAGGAGGGAGGAUAAGGCCAGCCACCCCACAGUAUUUCUAGCAAGAAUGGGAGCAGGUCCUGCAGGAGCCUGUGCACCGGCUUACUGAUCUCCCCAAGACUGGAAGACUGGAGCUGCUCGUGAAAUUAGUCCAGGUGACUGUGCACAUGUGAGUACACCCAUGAUGGAUAUGAAUGCCAUGGAUAAGAACUGGACGGAGAUUCUCCAGCCUUUUUACAUCAGUUACUGAACAGAUG